rnacentral:rRNA from 1 species
AUGAUUCAUGUGCAGGGCUUGCAGGGCAAGAUCAAGAUAGUCGCGCUAGAUCUCGUGGACAGGCCAGCCUGGUACAAGGACAAGGUCUACCCAGAGAACAAGGUACCUGCCCUGGAGCUCAACAAGCAAGUGAAAGGAGAGAGCCUGAAUCUGCUCAAGUACAUCGACGACAAUUUCGAUGGCCCAGAGUUGCUCCCUCAUGAUUCUGCAAAGAAGAUGUUUGCCGAGGAACUGCUUGCGUACAGCGACAGUUUCAACGCCAGUGCUUUCUUUUCAUGCCUACGCUCCAUGGGAGAUGUGACCGACGAAGCUGUUGCCGCUGUUGAUAAAAUAGAAGCUGCCCUAGGGAAGUUCAGCGAUGGCCCAUUCUUCCUUGGCCAGUUCAGUCUGGUUGACAUUGCAUAUGUGCCAUUCAUCGAAAGGCUUCAGAUAUCCUAUUCUGGCAUCAAGAACUACGAUAUCGUUGGGGGCAGACCCAACCUUGGCAGAUUCAUCGAGGAAGUCAACAAGAUCAACGCAUAUACACAAACCAAACUGGACACACAAGUUACACUUGACAUAAUAAAAGAGAAGUUCGGAGUACGUUAUCUUCCAAUUUUUUAG